GGCUGUAACUAUAACGGUCCUAAGGUAGCGAAAUCCCUUGUCGGGUAAGUUCCGACCCGCACGAAUGGCGUAACGACCUGAGCGUUGUCUCAACGAGGGGCUCGGUGAAAUUGCAUGGCCGGUGAAGAUGCCGGCUACCCGCGACAGGACAAAAAGACCCCGUGGAGCUUUACUGCAGCUUGGCACUGGAUCGGGGUGACAGAUGUGUAGGAUAGGCGGGAGACUGAGAAUCCCUGGCGCCAGUUGGGGAGGAGUCGUCCUUGAAAUACCGCUCUUCUGUGAUCUUGACCCUAACCUCGAUGAAGUCGAGGGACCGUGCCUGGUGGGCAGUUUGACUGGGGCGGUCGCCUCCUAAAAUGUAACGGAGGCGUCCAAAGGUUCCCUCAGGGUGGAUGGAAAUCACCUGUAGAGUGCAUUGGCAUAAGGGAGCUUGACUGUGAGACCUACAAGUCGAGCAGAGACGAAAGUCGGGCAAAGUGAUCCUACGGUACCGAGUGGAAGGGCCGUGGCUUAACGGAUAAAAGCUACCCCGGGGAUAACAGGCUGAUCUCGCCCAAGAGUUCACAUCGACGGCGAGGUUUGGCACCUCGAUGUCGGCUCGUCGCAUCCUGGGGCUGAAGAAGGUCCCAAGGGUCCGUCUGUUCGCCGGUGAAAGCAGCACGCGAGCUGGGUUCAAUACGAUG
rnacentral:rRNA from 1 species